AUUGAACGCUGGCGGAAUGCUUUACACAUGCAAGUCGAACGGUAGAGGGGGCAACCCCUCGAGAGUGGCGAACGGGUGAGUAAUAUAUCGGAACGUGCCCAGUCGUGGGGGAUAACGUAGCGAAAGUUACGCUAAUACCGCAUACGAUCUACGGAUGAAAGCGGGGGACUCGCAAGAGCCUCGCGCGAUUGGAGCGGCCGAUAUCAGAUUAGGUAGUUGGUGGGGUAAAGGCUCACCAAGCCAACGAUCUGUAGCUGGUCUGAGAGGACGACCAGCCACACUGGAACUGAGACACGGUCCAGACUCCUACGGGAGGCAGCAGUGGGGAAUUUUGGACAAUGGACGCAAGUCUGAUCCAGCCAUUCCGCGUGCAGGAUGAAGGCCCUCGGGUUGUAAACUGCUUUGUACGGACGAAAAAGGUCUCUAUUAAUACUAGGGGCUCAUGACGGUACCGUAAGAAUAAGCACCGGCUAACUACGUG
rnacentral:rRNA from 1 species